AUUUUCUUAGUAUAAGCAGUACUAAUGACUUCCAAUCAUUAAGCCUCGGUUAAACCCCGGGAGAAAAUA
rnacentral:tRNA from 1 species